AUAUACACUAUAAAGUUACAGAAUGUCUUUUAAGGAUUGCGCUCGUCGCAGUCAUUAAACCUAUACAACUUUCAGCAACGGAUCUCUUGGCUCUCCCAUCGAUGAAGAACGCAGCGAAAUGCGAUAAGUAAUGUGAAUUGCAGAAUUCAGUGAAUCAUCGAAUCUUUGAACGCACCUUGCGCCCUUUGGUAUUCCGAAGGGCAUGCCUGUUUGAGUGUCAUUAAAUUAUCAACCUUGCUUUGCUUUUACUAGCAUUGCUCGGCUUGGAUGUGGGGGUUUUUUGCUGGCUUCCUUCAGUGGAUGGUCUGCUCCCCUUAAAUGCAUUAGUGGGAUCUCUUGUGGACCGUCCACUUGGUGUGAUAAUUAUCUAUGCCAUGCGACUUUGAAGCAAACUUUAUGGGAACCUGCUUAUAACCGUCCCUUACAAGGACAACUUUAUUGACAUUUUGACCUCAAAUCAGGUAGGACUACCCGCUGAACUUAAGCAUAUCAAUAAGCGGAGGAAAAGAAACUAACAAGGAUUCCCCUAGUAACUGCGAGUGAAGCGGGAAAAGCUCAAAUUUAAAAU
rnacentral:rRNA from 1 species